UACGUAGGGUGCGAGCGUUGUUCGGAAUUACUGGGCGUAAAGGGCUCGUAGGCGCCAACUAAGUCGGAUGUGAAAUCCCCAGGCUUAACCUGGGAACUGCAUCCGAUACUGGUUGGCUUGAAUCCGGGAGAGGGAUGCAGAAUUCCAGGUGUAGCGGUGAAAUGCGUAGAUAUCUGGAGGAAUACCGGUGGCGAAGGCGGCAUCCUGGACCGGCAUUGACGCUGAUGAGCGAAAGCUAGGGGGAGCAAACGGGG
rnacentral:rRNA from 1 species